GACGUAGGGCGCGAGCGUUGUCCGGAUUUAUUGGGCGUAAAGAGCUCGUAGGCGGCUUGUCGCGUCGACUGUGAAAACCCGCAGCUCAACUGUGGGCUUGCAGCCGAUACGGGCAGGCGUAGAGUUCGGUAGGGGAGACUGGAAUUCCUGGAUGUAGCGGUGAAAUGCGCAGAUAUCAGGAGGAACACCGGUGGCGAAGGCGGGUCUCUGGGCCGAUACUGACGCUGAGGAGCGAAAGCGUGGGGAGCGAACAGG
rnacentral:rRNA from 1 species